GUCCCACCCUCAGGAGCCCCACAGUGGGCAGCCCACCAGUGAGGGCUGCAGGCGACUCCUGGAGGCCAGAGUGGCCCAGCGGCCUGGCGUGCAGGAGAAAGCAGGCCUACCUCUGCUCAGGCCAGGGACGCAGCUCCGCCUGCUUCAUUUCUCUUUUUCCUCUCCUCUUUCUGGCCAGAAGCUUCACCAGGUUUACCUUGGCCCAUUUCACAAGUCAGGGAACUGAGGCAUCCAUGGUCAAUGAACUCUGGUGCUAGGGGAAAGGACGCAGGAGCUCCCCAGCCUGGGUCCUCUGGUAAAGCAUCUGCCUCAGGCUCCAGUGCCCUGGGGACAGUCUGGCCCAGAUACAGGAGUGACUCGUGGAACUGUGCUCAGGGGCUGAAAUAGGAGCCCUGGGGUCUCAGCUGCUUUCUCAGAAAGAGAAAAAGAAACCGUGUUAUUUCCUAGAAUGUAAUGAAUGAGCUGGGAGAUGCUGGGGUAGGUGAGCACACCAGGUGCCAGGACCCAAGGGUGAGUGAGCUGGGGGUGCAGCAGGAUCUGGGGUGGGCGUCCAGUGGAGGGAGAGGGCUCACUGGGUUUCUUGCCACAAAAACCAGUACAGACUCGGCAGCCAGGGGCUGGUCCUGGGAGGGCCGGGGGCUUCCUGGUCUGCUCCCCUUCCUGCUGUUCCACUAUUGCCUGUGGGGUAUCUGCUGUGCUCAGGGAAGCCUGAGCCCCCUUCCAGUCACUUAGCUGAGGCAGGGCUCUGGGUAUGGCCCUCCUCACCUGGGGAAGUGGGGUUCACAGGCACUCAGAUACGUGGGGACGACGCUCUGCCAUCGUGAGGGGUCAGUCUGGCUGUGUGACCCAGCACCAGUGGGCAGCCCACAGGUGAUCUCUGUAGGAGCCUCCUCUGGCAGGUCACAAACAGGACGCCCCGCAGAGCCUUGGAACAUCGUGACUGAAGAAGGGCUCACAUCAUGUUUACUCCCCAGCCUCCCCAUCACCUGCAUCUGCAAGGGCUCCUUGGACCCUGGUCAGAAGUUUAUUUGGUGAAUGAUCCUGCAGACAUCACACUGGCUCAAAGGGCAUCAGAACCCCAGCUGAGAGGAGCCUCAGCAUCAGAUGAUGAGGACCUGGCACGGGAGCCUUCAUCUGAGGAUGUCCCAGGCGUUCACAUGGUGGACAAAGCCAGACAGACGAACAGUACAUAUUCUGGGAUCACCCCUAUGCUGAGGAAAAAUUCUAGUGUUGACACAGGUGCCAAGGAACUUCUGGAGGAGGAUGUGCCAGGACAGACAUCCUUGGAGGAAGCCUCAGGGGUUCACAUGGUAAAGUCUUCUUUUUUCCUCUGAAAUUGAAAUUUUAUUUCUCUCUGUUUCAAUUGAAUUAAGAUGUAUACAUCUUACCAUGUACAUUAUAGGUGAUUUACAGAAUUUCUUGGUGGGCAAAUGUCAGAGUUCAUUAUCAACAAAAAAAAUGAUUUCAGAUGGCAUCCACAUGUGCAAACUGUAUGUCAGCAGGCAUUUUCCUCAAGAGAAAUGCCUCCUUCUUGAGAAGUAUUUGGAAUUGUCAAACAAAAACAUUGGAAACUCUUGCAAAAAAAUC
ensembl:lincRNA